rnacentral:rRNA from 1 species
AUUGAACGCUGGCGGCAUGAUUUACACAUGCCAGUCGAACGGUAACAGGCCGCAAGGUGCUGACGAGCGGCGAACGGGUGAGUAAUGCAUCGGAACGUGCCCAGUCGUGGGGGAUAACUACUCGAAAGAGUAGCUAAUACCGCAUACGAUCUAUGGAUGAAAGCGGGGGACCGUAAGGCCUCGCGCGAUUGGAGCGGCCGAUGUCAGAUUAGGUAGUUGGUGGGGUAAAGGCUCACCAAGCCAACGAUCUGUAGCUGGUCUGAGAGGACGACCAGCCACACUGGGACUGAGACACGGCCCAGACUCCUACGGGAGGCAGCAGUGGGGAAUUUUGGACAAUGGGCGCAAGCCUGAUCCAGCAAUGCCGCGUGCAGGAAGAAGGCCUUCGGGUUGUAAACUGCUUUUGUACGGAACGAAACGGCUCUGGUUAAUACCCGGGGCUAAUGACGGUACCGUAAGAAUAAGCACCGGCUAACUACGUG